rnacentral:rRNA from 1 species
AAUUAGUUUGGCAUAAGCCGAUCCUAACUAGAAAUAGUAAAUAAAAAAGUAUGUGAAUUGAAACAUCUUAGUAACAUAUGUAAAAACCAAUAGGGAUAACAGUAGUAUCGGUGAGAGAAUCUGUUGUUGUAUACAAGUAAUACUUAGAAGUAUGAAUAAAGUAGUAUCUACUACUAAUACAUAAACUAUAACAUAAAGUUAAAAGUACUGUAAAGGAAAGAGUUAAAAAAUCAAAUUAUAUAAUAAAAAUAUAUAUAAGAGAUAAAAAGAAAUAUAUUAAUAAAGAGCAACUAUAGUAUAGUGUACCUCUUGUAUAAUGGGUCAGUGAGUUAUUUUUAUAAGCGAAAUAAGAAUUAUAUAUAAUAAGAUAAAGUUUAUAGGAAUAGACCCGAAAGCACAUGAUCUAUAUAUGUAUAGAUAUAUAUUUAAAAUAAAUAUAUGAUCAAAUAGGUAGAUGUAGCAAUAUCUUCUAAAGAUAUGUGUAUAGUAGUGAAAGGCAAAACUGAUGUGCAGAUAGCUGGUUAUCUACGAAAUAUAUGUUAGUAUAGCCCUUAUAAUAGCGUAAACCCUGGUAAAGCACUUAAUACCAUAUGGGAAUAAAUUUAUUUACUAUAUGUAUUAAACCUCUGAACAGGAGUGAUAUGACAUAUAAGGAGUCAGACUUAUUGCGAUAAGGUAAUAAGUCGAAAAGGGAAUAACCUAGACUAUUAAAUGAAGGUCCCAAAUCCUCAUUAAGUGAAUACAAUCCUAUGAGUAGAUAAAUACCUCAAUAUAUUCCAUAAAGGAAUAAUUUUGAUCAGACAAUUAGUCAGUGGGUUUGAUAAUAAUCACCUGUUAAAGAACAUGUAAAAAUGCACUAAUAGAAUUUAUAUCAAAAAAAGAUAUAUAAAUCAAAAGAUAGGAACAAAUAUACGGGUCUAAAUGUAGGAACCGAAUAAUAGAUAUAAUAAAAAAUAUUAUAUAGUAGUAGAUUAUAUAGUGAUAAUAACUAUAAAGACAAUGCUGACUUGAGUAACGAUAGGUAAUUAAGGAUUACCCCUACAAAACACAAGGUUUAACUAUAAAUUAACGGUAUCUAAGUAUAUAUAUGAAGAUAUAUAUAUGAUGAUAGAUAGUACAGGAAAAUGUAGUAACCGUACCGCAGUCCGACCCAGGUGUGUAAAUGAUAAAAAAUAAUCAUAAUAUAAAUCUUAUAACUAAUAAGAAAGAUAUUGAGUAGGAAUGGGUGAAGUAUCAUAAAUGAACUCGGCAAAUAAGGCAAGGCCUGAAUAGUACGACUGUUUACCAAAAACACAGCUUACUGCAAAUAGGAAACUAUCGGUAUAGUAAGUGAUAUCUGUCCGGUGUAAGUUAGAUAAAUAAAUAAUUGACUUAUAAACGACGGUCUUAUCAUGAGGAUCUGAAAGUAGCAAAAUUCAUUGGCAUAUAAUUGGUGUCCCGCAUGAAUGAUUAUACGAUACUAUAGCUGUAUCUAUGGUAUACCCAGUGAAAUAGUAAUCGCAGUGAAGAUACUGUGUAGUCAUAGAUUGACAAAAAGACCCUAUGCAGCUUUACUAUAUUCUUAUACUGUUAUAUAUAUAUAUAUUUAAAUUAAAUAUUUUUAUUUAUAUGUUUAUUUCUUUAUAUAUAUAACUAACCUUUAUUAAGGUACCAUAUAAGAUGGUUAGUUUCGAUGGGGCGUCGGCAUCACAAAACAUAACUGAUGUGUCUAAAUGAUAUUUUAUAUUCCCUUAUAUUUUAUUACUUUUUAGUUUUAUUUAUAAGGCCAUCAUCUUUUUAAGAUAAUAAUAGAAUAAAUAAGUACAGAUACACUAGUUGGCAACUAGUAUUAAUUAAUAUAAUAUUAUUUAUUAUAUUAUUCCUCAUUUUUGAUGUGGAAUCAUAUAUGUAAUACAUAUAUAAUUAAUUUUAUUUAUAAGGAUAAUAACAUAACUGUGCUAUGAUAAUGACACAUACUUGUGGAAUUAGUACUUAAGUAUAGUAUAUUGAACAGGCAAUAUCAUUAGAAUUGAGUGUCGAUUACGGAUUAAAGUUACGCUAGGGAUAUUAAGUUGUCCCCGUAUAUCGUGAGAUAUACUUAAUUAAUAGGGUUAAUUAC